rnacentral:rRNA from 1 species
GACGAACGCUGGCGGCGUGCUUAACACAUGCAAGUCGAACGGAAAGGCCCUGCUUUUGUGGGGUGCUCGAGUGGCGAACGGGUGAGUAACACGUGAGUAACCUGCCCUUGACUUUGGGAUAACUUCGGGAAACUGGGGCUAAUACCGGAUAGGAGCUCCUGCUGCAUGGUGGGGGUUGGAAAGUUUCGGCGGUUGGGGAUGGACUCGCGGCUUAUCAGCUAGUUGGUGGGGUAGUGGCUUACCAAGGCUUUGACGGGUAGCCGGCCUGAGAGGGUGACCGGCCACAUUGGGACUGAGAUACGGCCCAGACUCCUACGGGAGGCAGCAGUGGGGAAUAUUGCACAAUGGGCGGAAGCCUGAUGCAGCAACGCCGCGUGCGGGAUGACGGCCUUCGGGUUGUAAACCGCUUUCGCCUGUGACGAAGCGUGAGUGACGGUAAUGGGUAAAGAAGCACCGGCUAACUACGUG